GCUUUGUCUUUAAUUGAUCUGACGAGCUUGCUCUGAUUUGAUUUUAUCUGACAAAGAGUGGCGAACGGGUGAGUAACACGUGGGUAACCUACCUCUUAGCAGGGGAUAACAUUUGGAAACAAGUGCUAAUACCGUAUAAUACCAACAACCGCAUGGUUGUUGGUUGAAAGAUGGUUCUGCUAUCACUAAGAGAUGGACCCGCGGUGCAUUAGCUAGUUGGUAAGGUAACGGCUUACCAAGGCAAUGAUGCAUAGCCGAGUUGAGAGACUGAUCGGCCACAAUGGGACUGAGACACGGCCCAUACUCCUACGGGAGGCAGCAGUAGGGAAUCUUCCACAAUGGGCGCAAGCCUGAUGGAGCAACGCCGCGUGUGUGAUGAAGGGUUUCGGCUCGUAAAACACUGUUAUAAGAGAAGAACGGCACUGAGAGUAACUGUUCAGUGUGUGACGGUAUCUUACCAGAAAGGAACGGCUAAAUACGUGCCAGCAGCCGCGGUAAUACGUAUGUUCCAAGCGUUAUCCGGAUUUAUUGGGCGUAAAGCGAGCGCAGAC
rnacentral:rRNA from 1 species